rnacentral:misc_RNA from 1 species
GCAAACUACUUAGGCGGAGUUAAUCUUAUUUUUUAUAAUUUAAUAUUUUUCUUGUGACAUUUUUUUAAUCUUUGAAAAACAUUUUGGAGCAUUGUAUAAACGUAUUUAGGAUAUUCCUAUCCAGGAAAUAAAGAAUAUUCAUAAUUAAUUAAUAUUUUGUUUUAUUUAGGAAUUUAUUUGCUGCUAAUACGAGAAGUCAUUGUCUAUAAAUAUGUAUGUAGCUCGAUAUUUUCUUAGGUUGAAAUUGUGAGUAGUUAAUUUGGCUUAGAGGCAUGCAUACUUGCACAUAAUUCUCUCUUCUCCUCUCUCUUAUAUCUUUCUCCUCCGUGCCUCGGUAACCUUAAGUAUAAUUCCCAUAUCAUCUCUCAUAGGUUUGCCAUUUAUUGUGACAAAUUCCCACCAAUUAAUUGCCUGUAUAGGUUUUCUUCAUUCCUGUAUAGGUUUUCUUUAUUGCAACCGCUCAUUAACCUUCCUUUAAUUCUCAUUGAAACCCGGAAUCCUCCAAUGGAUUUUCAAACUAAUAUUUACCAAUUAAACACUCCAACUGCAUCAAUUAAAUCUGAUCCUUUCACAUUCAUUCGGGAUCCUGCUUCCAUAUUUAUAGGUGGAUCCCAUAUAAAUGCGAGAGGAUGUACUAUUAUAUAGUGUCCUAAGGGCACUAAAUAAUUUUCCCCUUUGAACUCUCUCUCUCUCUCUCUCU